CAAAAGAUGGUGAACUAUGCCUGAGCGGGGCGAAGCCAGAGGAAACUCUGGUGGAGGCCCGCAGUGAUACUGACGUGUAAAUCAUUUGUCUGACUUGGGUAUAGGGGCGAAAGACUAAUCAAACCAUCUAGUAGCUGGUUCCCUCCGAAGUUUCCCUCAGGAUAGCUAUAGCCCGUGCGCAAGUUCUAUCGGGUAAAGCCAAUGAUUAGAAGCAUCGGGGGCAACGCCCUUAACCUAUUCUUAAACUUUAAAUAGGUAGGACGGUGUAGCUGUUCCGGUGAGCCGCGCCAUGGAAUCGAGAGCUCCAAGUGGGCCAUUUUUGAUAAGCAGAACUGGCGACGCGGGAAGAAAUGGAAGCCGGGUUACAGUGCCCGAUUGCGCGCUAACCCAGAACCCACAAAGGGUGUUGGUCGAUUAAGACAGCAUGACGGUGGUUAUGGAAGUCGAAAUCCGCUAAGUAGCAAAUAUUCAAAUGAGAACUUUGAAGGCCGAAGAGGGGAAAGGUUCCAUGUGAACGGCACUUGCACAUUUGUUAGCCGAUCCUAAGGGACGGGGGAGGCCCGUCAGAGAGAGCGUCCGCGCGCGAGCUCCGAAAGGGAAUCGGGUUAAAAUUCCUGAGCUAGGACGUGGCGGCUGACGGCGACGUUAGGGAGUCCGAAGACGCUGGCGGGGUCCCCGGGGAGAGUUAUCUUUUCUGCUUAACAUUGCGCGGUGUCCGGUGCGCCCCCAGCGGCCCGUGAAAAUCUGGAGGACCGAGUGCCACCCACGCCCAGUCGUACUCAUAACCGCAUUAGGUCUCCAAGGUGAACAGCCUCUGGCCGAUGGAACAAUGUAGGCAAGGGAAGUAGGCAAAACAAAUCCGUAACUUCGGGAAAAGGAUUGGCUCUGAGGGAUGGGCACGGGGGUCCCGGUCCCGAACCCGUCGGCUAUCGGCGAACUGCUCGAGCCGUGUCUAUGGCGAGAGUGGGUCACCGCGUGCCAGACGGGGGACGGACAGGGAACGGCCAGCGUGCCGCUCCCGCAACGUGGGGGCCUUCCCCGGCGUCGAAAAGUUGACUCAGAACUGGUACGGACAAGGGGAAUCCGACUGUUUAAUUAAAACAAAGCAUUGCGAUGGUCCCCGCGGAUGCUCACGCAAUGUGAUUUCUGCCCAGUGCUCUAAAUUUCAGAGUGAAGAAAUUCAAGCAAGCACGGCUAAACGGCGGGAGUAACUAUGACUCUCUUAAGGUAGCCAAAUGCCUCGUCAUCUAAUUAGUGUCGCGUAUGAAUGGAUUAACAAGAUUCCCACUGUCCCUAUCUAUUAUCCAGUGAAACUACAGCCAAGGGAAGUUUCACAUCAUUUGGUAUCACAUGAAAACCCCCCGGGCAAAGUUUCACAGAUUUUGGAUAAGCGUAGCCAAUGUUCGAUCGGGGGAGUAUGCGUCGACGUCAGGAUGGGUAGUUGGUUGACUUUGGAAUCUCACAGCGGGACCAUCGUAGAUGGAUUUGUCAUCAUAAAAAACCACAAGGGGUGAAGUUUCAUCAAUAAGGCAUGAGUGGAUCGGGAGAUGACACGAAGCGCGCCCCUCCCGUCGUGGGAUGUCAUGCCGGCGCCGCCGGGGCGGUGCGGGCGACGGCGGCAUCCCGGCCUGGCUCCCCGGCCCCAUCAUUUGGCAUCACAUGAAAACCCCUCGGUCAAAGUUUCACAGAUUUUGGAUGAUCAUAGCCAAUGUUUGAUCAGGGGAGUAUGCGUCGCCGUCAGGAUGGGCGUUCGGUCGACUUUGGAUUCUCACCGCGGGACCAUCGCAUAUGGAUUUGU
rnacentral:rRNA from 1 species